CCUACGGGCGGCAGCAGUGAGGAAUAUUGGUCAAUGGACGAGAGUCUGAACCAGCCAAGUAGCGUGAAGGAUGACUGCCCUAUGGGUUGUAAACUUCUUUUAUAUGGGAAUAAAAUGUUCCACGUGUGGGCUUUUGUAUGUACCAUAUGAAUAAGGAUCGGCUAAAUCCGUGCCAGCAGCCGCGGUAAUACGGAGGAUCCGAGCGUUAUCCGGAUUUAUUGGGUUUACAGGGAGCGUAGGUGGAUUGUUAAGUCAGUUGUGAAAGUUUGCGGCUCAACCGUAAAAUUGCAGUUGAAACUGGCAGUCUUGAGUACAGUAGAGGUGGGCGGAAUUCGUGGUGUAGCGGUGAAAUGCUUAGAUAUCACGAAGAACUCCGAUGGCGAAGGCAGCUCACUGGACUGCAACUGACACUGAGGCUCGAAAGUGUGGGUAUCAAACAGGAUUAGAUACCCCAGUAGUC
rnacentral:rRNA from 1 species